rnacentral:rRNA from 1 species
UACGUAGGGGCCUAGCGUUGUCCGGAUUUAUUGGGCGUAAAAGAGCUCGUAGGCGGUUCGGUAAGUCAGGUGUGAAAUCUCCACGCUCAACGUGGAGGCGCCACCUGAAACUGCCGUGACUCGAGUCCGGUAGGGGAGUGUGGAAUUCCUGGUGUAGCGGUGAAAUGCGCAGAUAUCAGGAGGAACACCGGUGGCGAAGGCGGGUCUCUGGGCCGAUACUGACGCUGAGACGCGAAAGCGUGGGGAGCAAACAGG